AAAUGCAAGUUACCACAAUAUUAUUUUAUCAUACUCUCAUUUUGGAAGGGAUGCACCAUUGAUUUCUUACCACCUUUUUUUUACCAAUAAUUCUUAAAGAAAUGAUUUCGCUUACGCUGAGAGGCUGAGAGGAUGUUAUUGUGAGGCUCAAUUAGAUCUAGCACGAGAUAGUGAUGCGUUGGUAAUAAUUUAGGGUUGAAGAGAUUACUCAAAUCUGACGAGUGACGAAGAGAUAGAAUUAUUUUUAGGGUUGGAGAUGGGAUGUGGUACUCUGUCGGUGAACAUCCUAAUUCCCAUAGGUGGGAGUUUGUCCAUGAGAUGAAGUGGGUGCAUAGGUUUUGUCAGGCUUGGCGAAGUCGGUUGUGCCCUCUUUCUCUCAAGUGCGAGCAAGGGAGACGAUGGAGGUGUGUCACUUACCUUUGACUCUGCAUGGUGUUGGGUUGGGUUUUCCUUUGUGUGGCUAGGGACCAAGUGGUGGAGAUUCUAAUGGAUUCCAAUGUGUGUGUGUGUUUUACUUUUUUGUAUUGACUUUGUUUGGUUAGCCUUUUGUGGAACUUAUUUAUAUUUUGUACCCUGUUCUUGGGACUUUUGUUUGAUCUAUACUUAGCUUUGAAUCCAGAGGCCAUCGAGUCUUGGAAUUGGAGCAUUGUAACUUAAGAUAGCUCAAAGGGGAGCUUCAGAUUGUUGUUAGGACAUUUUUCAUAGGUCAUAUUACUCUUUAAGUAUAAUUGGUGUGAUUUGCUAUUUAUUUGGUUUGUCAUCUAUCUGUGAGAUUUAUGUGGCAUUAUUUCUGCUUGACCAUGAAA